CUGUUCUAGGAUAAAAGGGGAUAAGUAGGUUUAAAUAGUGGUAGAGGAAAAAAAGAGACUUUUGACCUACAGAAAAGGAGUAAGGCAGGUGUUGCAAAGGAGGAAUGUAGAGAGAAAGCACAGUGAUUUUGGCAGCUGAUGGAAAAAGAGGGGAACUCAGGAAUUAAUGGGUGAUGUUUAGCAGGUGUGGUUGAUGCUGCUGGUGCCUCGCCCAGGCCCUCUAUACCUACCAGAGCACCAGAGCCCAGAUGUAACAGUGUUGGCUGAUAAUAACUGACCCAUCCCCCUUCUCCAAAUGGAAGCCACUGUCCCUAGAAGGUUAGCCUACCCUCCCUUCACUCCAGGAGGCAGCCCAGGGGUACAAAAAGCUUGGUUCUUUUGCCUCAAGAUGAGAAGAUAGGAUCAACUUUGUGGUGUAAUUCAUGUUCCAGAGCCUCUUGUGCAAUCAAUCUGAGACUCAAUUCUGAUGAAAUCCCCAUUCUUGCCUAGUCUUCUAUUCCCCCUCUUACUCAUCUUCCCCCGAAGUACUCUCCCACACAUCUCCUAACAAGAAUCCCAUCUCAGAUUCUGCUACGAGGACACCUGACCUAAGACAGGAAGAUUUACACUGUACCUGUGAUGCUACCCACUUUCUCCAUGCUCCCUGUCCCAGGAAAUCUCAGGAAUGCAGGCAUAGUUGGUAUCUGAGUGAUGAUCCCAGUUCUUCCUCCUAGAAUACUAACACAGGGACAGUCGCCAAAAACUUUGGGAGGCACAGAUCAUCAGAGGCUCUGCUCUCAGAUUUAGAGUUGAAUCCUGGUUGGUCCCUUACUGACUAUGUGACAGUAAAUGAGUAAGUUUCACCCCUCUAAGCCUCCCCUUCUUCUUCUUCUUGACAAUGGAAAGUAGGAUAGUGAAUCAAGAGAAACUGUA
rnacentral:lncRNA from 1 species